rnacentral:rRNA from 1 species
ACCUGCGGAGGAUCAUUAGUGAAUAUAGGACGUCCAACUUAACUUGGAGUCCGAACUCUCACUUUCUAACCCUGUGCACUUGUUUGGGAUAGUAACUCUCGCAAGAGAGCGAACUCCUAUUCACUUAUAAACACAAAGUCUAUGAAUGUAUUAAAUUUUAUAACAAAAUAAAACUUUCAACAACGGAUCUCUUGGCUCUCGCAUCGAUGAAGAACGCAGCGAAAUGCGAUAAGUAAUGUGAAUUGCAGAAUUCAGUGAAUCAUCGAAUCUUUGAGCGCACCUUGCGCUCCAUGGUAUUCCGUGGAGCAUGCCUGUUUGAGUGUCAUGAAUACUUCAACCCUCCUCUUUCUUAAUGAUUGAAGAGGUGUUAGGUUUCUGAGCGCUGCUGGCCUUUACGGUCUAGCUCGUCCGUAAUGCAUUAGCAUCCGCAAUCGAACUUCGGAUUGACUUGGCGUAAUAGACUAUUCGCUGAGGAAUUCUAGUCUUCGGACUAGAGCCGGGUUGGGUUAAAGGAAGCUUCUAAUCAGAAUGUCUACAUUCUAAGAUUAGAUCUCAAAUCAGGUAGGACUACCCGCUGAACUUAAGCAUAUCAAUAAGCGGAGGAA